rnacentral:lncRNA from 1 species
UCUUUUUGUUCCCUAUUACUUCCUUGUACACUUUAUGCAUGUAAAUGAUCACUCAUCACUACAAAAAAGCGUGUAUGUGGUGGCGGUUAUAAUAUGGCGGUUAUUAAAAACCGCCACAAUUUACUGUAUAAUACGACAAUUUCAUAGACGCCAUAAUCUCUCUUCGAAUUGUGGCAUGUAGAACCGCCAUAAUUAUCCUUCGAAAUAAAAACUCUCCCACGUUUCGUU